UGCAGGCUUCAGGAACAUGGCGGGUGGUUCUCGUUAAUGGAAGCAUGAAGAAGAGGAGGCAUGCUCCAACACAGACAUGGAAAAUAUGAAAAAACAAAGUGGGAUGAAGCGGGAAGCAAACGAUGGAAACGCGGGGAGAAGAAGAGACAAAAUGAAAGAUCACUGCUGUCAGAUGAAAACGCUGCAUCUCUGGGAACGCCGGUUUUCCCAUGGUUUAAUGUUCAAAAGGAUCUUUUUCACGUGGCUCAUUUCUUUAUUCAGAGGAACGUAGAGCAUGAGCACUCCCUCAAAAAUGUAGCGUCUUUUCCCAACAGCAGCUGAACACAAAGAGAACAUGAAAAAAGCAAAGAAACACAAAACGGUGAUGUCCACGAGCCUUUCACAAUAGAAGACUCAAAAACAUUUUCACAGGGAAAUGAAAUGCAAGCAAGCCCCAUGUUUAAUUAAAAUAAUCACACAAACAUCUGAAAAUGACAUUUAAUGGAUGAUUUCAUAUCAUUAGAAGCACAGAUUCAUUAUAAUUAAAGCAAUUAUCACAGAGCGAGAAGCUUUAAUCAAGGAAAAACUUCACAUUCAUUUUUCCUCCAAAGAUUCAACAGGUGAACGAAAUGAGACUGAGAGUGAAAGCAGAUUUUACUCCACUCUGAAACUCUGACAUUUAAUCAUUGUGAAGUCGCUCUGACAGCUGCUGAGGGCCUUUUAUCGUUUUACUGUGUCAGAGGAAGAAUUUUGAGCUGCAUUGCCCUCACAGCUGCGAGCGCUCAGGAAGUCCUCCCACAAACACUGACUGAUUCCUGUGUCGACUGGAGGAAGGGUGGUCAUUUGGUGGUGGUGGUGGUGGUGGGGGAUUCAUGUCUGUGUGCUACACCUGUGAGCACCUUGAUGACAUCAAAUAGUCUUCAUUGCCACACUUUUGUGUUUCAGCAGCGGUUUCGGUCUCAGGGAGGUUCUCUAUGGCUGCGGCGGCGUGCUACUGAUGAACAUAAUGAGAUUUAAAUAAUCUGGAGGUGUGUUGACCCAGGGUGAUAUUUAAAACCUGCAGGACACUGGCCCUUGAAGCCUGGAGUUCCCCACCCCUGCUUUAAAGCCUCAGUUUGCUGGUGUUCCUGUUCACGCCUAGUUUAUCCACAGCCCCUUUGGAGUAUUGGGUCACCUGAAUAAAGGUUGACACGAGCAUGAAGUUUUAUAUAUUGUAUCUGUGUUCACGCUGUGAGGUUUUCUAUUUUCAAAUAGUAAAAAAAAAUACAGGCUUCUGGGUCGUUUUGCCCCUCGCACUGAGGACUGCAGCUCAACUCUCAGACGGACCCAAUGAUUUUUACACUUCCUCGUACGUUAGCUCCAAAGUCGAGCUGCCCGUAACUCAAAGAGCGUGACAGCUGUGAGGGCAGCACGGCUUUCCUGCUUCAGUGAAUAAAUAAAAGGUCAUCCACAGCAAAACCACCAGGACAACAUGACGAAGUCUCCACCUUCCACCUCUUCCUCCUCCGCCUUCACCUCUAAAGGUCUCCCUGGAAAAGCAGACAAAGAAGGAAAUUUUCAGCAUAGUGCAUUCUGACUUUUUCAUAUUCUGAACACAAAUCCUGUUUUUUCUUGGAUGAAAAGUCCAUACUUUAUGAUUCAUUUGCUCUCUGAACCAUUUUCAACUUAUUUGUUUUUCCAAUUCUCAGUCUGAUCAACAGAAAAGCAUCAGCAGGAACAAAGAGCCUUCCACUUCGCUCUAGAGCGGGUGGAGUGCAACUUGACCUGAUGCAGGUCUACUGUGUCUCAGUAAUUCAUAAUUCAACAUAACUGUGGAUAAUUUCAUGACAAAAAAGGAGCUUCAAAUGCUUCUCAUCAGUCACAUUCAAAUGUGUCCUGCAGCCCUGAAACUGACGAGAGACCUGUGAAUAAACGAGUGACUGCAGAUCAGAUGUGUUUGCGUGUCAGACAAUCACACCCCCGGGGAACCAAUCAAUCUGCUCCAAUCCAGAGAGAACCUAAUGAGAGGACCUGUUGUACCAAAGAGUUUCAC